rnacentral:rRNA from 1 species
UACGUAGGUGGCGAGCGUUGUCCGGAUUUACUGGGCGUAAAGAGCGCGCAGGCGGUCGUUCAAGUCGCGUGUGAAAGCCUCCGGCUCAACUGGGGAGGGUCACGCGAUACUGAUCGACUCGAAGGCAGGAGAGGGAAGUGGAAUUCCCGGUGUAGUGGUGAAAUGCGUAGAUAUCGGGAGGAACACCAGUGGCGAAGGCGACUUCCUGGCCUGUUCUUGACGCUGAGGCGCGAAAGCCAGGGGAGCAAACGGG